rfam:Drosophila melanogaster chromosome 3R.
CUCGUGUUACGUAUACUGAAGGUAUACCGGAUAGGAUACACUCAGGAUACAUUCAGUAUACGUUUACGAG